rnacentral:misc_RNA from 1 species
GGGAAUGAUGUGAAACUCGGGGUUGUUGGAGUUGAGGUUUCAACUGGGGAUGUUGUUUAUGGGGAGUUCAAUGACAAUUUCAUGAGGGCUGGGUUGGAGGCUAUGAUCCUGAACUUGUUGCCAGCUGAAUUGCUUGUUGGCAGGCCUAUAUCUAAGCAGACAGAGAAGCUGCUACUGGCUUAUGCUGGACCUGCAUCGAAUGUUCGGGUGGAGGAUGUAUCAUCAGAUCGGUUCAGUGACGGUGGUGCUCUGGCUGAGGUGAUGUCUCUCUAUGAGGGCAUGCAGGAAACUAAUUUGUUAGAUGUUCAAGAAAAGGAAGAGGCUGAAAUGAAAAUGCCCAAAUGCAAUCAAAUUGCAAUCCAGGGAAUAAUGGCAAUGCCUCAUUUGGCUGUACAAGCAUUGGGCCUAAUUGUUAGCCAUCUAAAACAAUUUGGUUUGGAAAGAGUUCUGUGCUUGGGAGCCUCAUUUCGUCCCUUCUCUAGCAACAUGGAG